rnacentral:rRNA from 1 species
UCAAGUGACUAAGUGCAUGUGGCGGAUGCCUUGGCGAUCACAGGCGAAGAAAGACGCGGCAGCCUGCGAAAAGCUGCGGGGAGCUGGCAAACGAGCUUUGAUCCGCAGAUAUCUGAAUGGGGGAACCCACACCGCAAGGUGUAUCCGUGACUGAAUACAUAGGUUACGGAGGCGAACGAGGAGAACUGAAACAUCUAAGUAUCCUCAGGAAAAGAAAUCAACCGAGAUUCCGGCAGUAGCGGCGAGCGAACCCGGAGGAGCCUAGCUUUUGAUAGUACGAACUUUAGCCGAAAGGUCCUGGAAAGGCCUGCUAUAGUGGGUGAUAGCCCCGUAGGCGAAAGAGUUCGUAUGGUACUAAGGAAGCGAGAAGUAGAGCGGGACACGUGGAAUCCUGUUCGAAGAUGGGGGGACCAUCCUCCAAGGCUAAAUACUCGUGAUCGACCGAUAGUGAACCAGUACCGUGAGGGAAAGGCGAAAAGAACCCCGGGAGGGGAGUGAAAUAGAACCUGAAACCGCAUGCAUACAAACAGUAGGAGCCUCGUCAGAGGUGACUGCGUACCUUUUGCAUAAUGGGUCAGCGACUUACAUUCUGUGGCGAGCUUAACCGAAUAGGGGAGGCGCAGCGAAAGCGAGUUCGAAAUGAGCGUCCAGUCGCAGGGUGUAGACCCGAAACCAGAUGAGCUAUCCAUGGCCAGGUUGAAGGUGUGGUAACACACACUGGAGGACCGAACCGACUAGUGUUGCAAAAUUAGCGGAUGAGCUGUGGAUAGGGGUGAAAGGCCAAACAAAUCUGGAGAUAGCUGGUUCUCCCCGAAAACUAUUGAGGUAGUGCCUCGUGUGUCGCUCCAGGGGGUAGAGCACUGUUUUGGCUAGGGGGACAUGGAGUCUUACCAAACCAAGGCAAACUCCGAAUACCUGGAAGCGUAAGCACGGGAGACAGAGCACCGGGUGCUAACGUCCGGACUCAAAAGGGAAACAACCCAGACCGCCGGCUAAGGUCCCCAAUAACAGCUAAGUGGAAAACGAAGUGGAAAGGCCGUGACAACCAGGAAGUUGGCUUAGAAGCAGCCAUCCUUCAAAGAAAGCGUAAUAGCUCACUGGUCGAGUCCUUCUGCGCGGAAGAUGUAACGGGGCUAAGCUGUUAACCGAAGCCGCGGAUGCACUGAUUAUUCAGUGCGUGGUAGGGGAGCGUUCUGUAAGUCUGCGAAGGCGGUUCGAGAGGACUGCUGGAGAUAUCAGAAGUGCGAAUGCUGACAUGAGUAACGUUAAAGCAGGUGAAAAGCCUGCUCGCCGUAAGCCCAAGGAUUCCUGCUCUACGUUCAUCGGAGCAGGGUGAGUCGGCUCCUAAGGUCAGGCCGAAAGGCGUAGCCGAUGGGAAUCAGGUUAAUAUUCCUGAACCUGCGUCAGAUGCGAUGGGGGGACGGAGCAUGAAAGAUCAUCCGGGUGUUGGAUGUCCCGGUUGACGAGCGUAGGAGGUCUGCAGGCAAAUCCGCAGACGCAUCUCCAAGGCAAAGACACGUGCCGCCACGGCGGCGAAGUGAUCGGAAGUGCUUCCAAGAAAAGCCUCUAAGCACCAGUCUGGCGCGGACCGUACCGCAAACCGACACUGGUGGGCGAGCUGAAUAUGCUCAGGCGCUUGAGAGAACUCGGGAGAAGGAACUCGGCAAAUUGACACCGUAACUUCGGAAGAAGGUGUGCCGUAGUACCGUGAGAGGAGAGACACCUUGAGCGGGAAUCGGUCUCAGAGAAUAGGUGGCUGCGACUGUUUAUUAAAAACACAGCACUCUGCAAAGUCGAAAGACGACGUAUAGGGUGUGAUGCCUGCCCGGUGCUGGAAGAUUAAUUGAUGGGGUGAGAGCCCUUGAUCGAAGUCCCAGUAAACGGCGGCCGUAACUAUAACGGUCCUAAGGUAGCGAAAUUCCUUGUC